rnacentral:miRNA from 8 species
CAAAUUCGAUUCCUCGGGGUUUC